rfam:Hordeum vulgare subsp. vulgare, WGS project CAJW01000000 data, contig: morex_contig_24904
UUUCUACUCCCUGCAUCCGGAAUUACUUGUCGCAUAAAUGAAUAAAAAAAGAUAUAUCUAGAACUAAAAUAAAUCUAGAUACAUCCAUUCUUGUGACAAGUAUUUCCGGACGGAGGGAGUACUAA